GACGUAGGGCGCGAGCGUUGUCCGGAUUUAUUGGGCGUAAAGAGCUCGUAGGCGGCUUGUCGCGUCGUGUGUGAAAUCUCAGGGCUCAACUCUGACAUUGCAUACGAUACGGGCAGGCUUGAGUUCGGUAGGGGAGACUGGAAUUCCUGGUGUAGCGGUGAAAUGCGCAGAUAUCAGGAGGAACACCGGUGGCGAAGGCGGCUUCCUGGACCGACACUGACGCUGAGGCACGAAAGCGUGGGGAGCAAACAGG
rnacentral:rRNA from 1 species